rnacentral:rRNA from 1 species
GUGCCAGCAGCCGCGGUGAUACGUAGGGUGCGAGCGUUGUCCGGAUUUAUUGGGCGUAAAGGGCUCGUAGGUGGUUGAUCGCGUCGGAAAGUGUAAUCUUGGGGCUUAACCCUGAGCGUGCUUUCGAUACGGGUUGACUUGAGGAAGGUAGGGGAGAAUGGAAUUCCUGGUGGAGCGGUGGAAUGCGCAGAUAUCAGGAGGAACACCAGUGGCGAAGGCGGUUCUCUGGGCCUUUCCUGACGCUGAGGAGCGAAAGCGUGCGGAGCGAACAGGCUUAGAUACCUUGGUAGUCC